AGUGAACGCUGGCGGUAGGCCUAACACAUGCAAGUCGAACGGCAGCACAGAGGAGCUUGCUCCUUGGGUGGCGAGUGGCGGACGGGUGAGGAAUACAUCGGAAGCUACUCUGUCGUGGGGGAUAACGUAGGGAAACUUACGCUAAUACCGCAUACGACCUACGGGUGAAAGCAGGGGACCUUCGGGCCUUGCGCGAUUGAAUGAGCCGAUGUCGGAGUAGCUAGUUGGCGGGGUAAAGGCCCACCAAGGCGACGAUCCGUGGCUGGUCUAGGAGGAUGAUCUACCACACGGGAACUGAGUCACGGUCCAGACUGCACCGGGAGGCAGCAGUGGUGAAUAUUGGACAAUGGGCGCAAGCCUGAUCCAGCCAUACCGCGUGGGUGAAGAAGGCCUUCGGGUUGUAAAGCCCUUUUGUUGGUAAAGAAAUCCAGCUGGCUAAUACCCGGUGGGGAUGACGGUACCCGAAGAAUAAGCACCGGCUAACUUCGUGCCAGCCGCCGCCGUAA
rnacentral:rRNA from 1 species